GAUGAACGCUGGCGGCGUGCCUAAUACAUGCAAGUCGAGCGAACAGACGAGGAGCUUGCUCCUCUGACGUUAGCGGCGGACGGGUGAGUAACACGUGGAUAACCUACCUAUAAGACUGGGAUAACUUCGGGAAACCGGAGCUAAUACCGGAUAAUAUAUUGAACCGCAUGGUUCAAUAGUGAAAGACGGUUUUGCUGUCACUUAUAGAUGGAUCCGCGCCGCAUUAGCUAGUUGGUAAGGUAACGGCUUACCAAGGCAACGAUGCGUAGCCGACCUGAGAGAGUGAUCGGCCACACUGGAACUGAGACACGGUCCAGACUCCUACGGGAGGCAACAGUAGGGAAUCUUACGCAAUGGGCGAAAGCCUGACGGAGCAACGCCGCGUGAGUGAUGAAGGUCUUCGGAUCGUAAAACUCUGUUAUUAGGGAAGAACAAAUGUGUAAGUAACUAUGCACGUCUUGACGGUACCUAAUCAGAAAGCCACGGCUAACUACGUG
rnacentral:rRNA from 1 species